GAGUUUGAUCAUGGCUCAGAUUGAACGCUGGCGGCAUGCCUUACACAUGCAAGUCGAACGCGAAAGCGGGGCAACCCGCAAGUAGAGUGGCGAACGGGUGAGUAAUACAUCGGAACGUGCCCAGUAGCGGGGGAUAACCUCUCGAAAGAGAGGCUAAUACCGCAUACGUCCUACGGGAGAAAGAGGGGGAUCGCAAGACCUCUCACUAUUGGAGCGGCCGAUGUCGGAUUAGCUAGUUGGUGAGGUAAAAGCUCACCAAGGCGACGAUCCGUAGCUGGUCUGAGAGGACGGCCAGCCACACUGGAACUGAGACACGGUCCAGACUCCUACGGGAGGCAGCAGUUAGGAAUCUUGCGCAAUGGGCGAAAGCCUGACGCAGCAACGCCGCGUGGGGGAUGAAGGCUCUCGGGUCGUAAACCCCUUUCAGCAGGGACGAUUGUGACGGUACCUGCAGAAGAAGGACCGGCCAACUACGUGCCAGCAGCCGCCGCCGUAAG
rnacentral:rRNA from 1 species